rnacentral:tRNA from 1 species
GGAAGGGUGGCCGAGCGGUUUAAGGCAGCAGUCUUGAAAACUGCCGUGGGCGCAAGUCUACCGUGGGUUCGAAUCCCACCCCUUCCG